rnacentral:tmRNA from 1 species
GGGGGCGUAAAGGUUUCGACGGGGAUUUUGAACCAACGAAAGCGAGCAGCGGUGCGGAACCGCUAUAAAAUCCGCAAUUUAAAAUUAACUGACAACAAUAAAGUUGCCUUUGCUGCCUGAUUAAGGCGGCCGUCCGACCGAAGAGUACCGCGGCUUCGUGAGGGCGUCAUUCAGCGGUGAACGUGAAUAUCCGCUUCGGCUCUCGGCGGGUAUCAUGACUAAAGAGCCUACCGUGUUUUCCGCCUGACAACCGGCUGAAUACCCGGGAAAUUUAACGAUUGUCUGCGCUCGGAGACGUCGUUGGGAAUUGAUUUUCGGACGCGAGUUCGACUCUCGCCGCCUCCACCA